GACGAACGCUGGCGGCGUGCCUAAUACAUGCAAGUAGAACGCUGAAGGAGGAGCUUGCUUCUCUGGAUGAGUUGCGAACGGGUGAGUAACGCGUAGGUAACCUGCCUGGUAGCGGGGGAUAACUAUUGGAAACGAUAGCUAAUACCGCAUAAGAGUAGAUGUUGCAUGACAUUUGCUUAAAAGGUGCAAUUGCAUCACUACCAGAUGGACCUGCGUUGUAUUAGCUAGUUGGUGGGGUAACGGCUUACCAAGGCGACGAUACAUAGCCGACCUGAGAGGGGGGUCGGCCACACUGGGACUGAGACACGGCCCAGACUCCUACGGGAGGCAGCAGUAGGGAAUCUUCGGCAAUAGACGGAAGUCUGACCGAGCAACGCCGCGUGAGUGAAGAAGGUUUUCGGAUCGUAAAGCUCUGUUGUAAGAGAAGAACGAGUGUGAGAGUGGAAAGUUCACACUGUGACGGUAUCUUACCAGAAAGGGACGGCUAACUACGUG
rnacentral:rRNA from 1 species